UAAGUACCGAGGGCUUCAUCUAUCUAAAAGGAGUCAUUUCCAUCUGAAUGUGGCAGCAACGGGACACAGCAGCAGAGCGUGUCCACAUCCAGAAGGCUGGAGCCGUGUUUCACUGACAGGCUGUCAGACUAAAGCCCUGAUGAGCUCAGCUGGGACAAACUGGUCUGAUGUUUAGGAACACAGAACGUUCAGAUGUUGGACCUUCACGUCACCUACUGAGGAAGGAGACCCACCAGUAAAGAGACGGUCUGGACCAGACCAAAAAUAUGGCGAUGACAUCAUGGAACUGGUCUUUGGAAAAGUUUUCCCUGAACCAACUCCGUUUCUAGAUGAGGUAGAGAAGAUCUGCAUCUCACCAACCCUCUGGUCUCAGUAUUCAGACAACGGAGGUCUCCCACUCUUAUCCAGGACCAGUUUGAAGCUCACAUACUGCCCCUCCCUCAUCAUCAGGAAACAUCAAUCCGUAUCCUGAGGACAACAGAAGACGGCAGGAGGACAGGAACUCUGAGACCUAGAUACCACCAGCACCGGGACACAAAGCACCUGUGUGCACAACGCCUGUUUAACUACUAAAGCCUGUUUAUUAUAUUGUUCUACUUAUUUGCUGUGAGGUUAUUACUUAGAAAAUUUGUAUAUUAAUUAGUGGUGGGCAUAGAUUAAUUUUUUUAAUCUAGAUUAAUCUCACUGUAAUCUUGGAAUUAAUCUAGAUUAAUCUAGAUUAAAAUGGCUCAUUCAAAUUCUGCCAAAGGCAUAUGUGUGUGCUACCUAGAUAAUGAAUAAAAGCAAGUCUUUGAGAA